UACGUAGGGUGCGAGCGUUGUCCGGAAUUAUUGGGCGUAAAGGGCUCGUAGGCGGUUUGUCGCGUCGGGAGUGAAAUCCACUGGCUUAACUGGUGGCUUGCGUUUCGAAUGACGGGCAGACUGGAGGUAUGCAGGGGAGAACGGAAUUCCUGGUGUAGCGGUGAAAUGCGCAGAUAUCAGGAGGAACACCGGUGGCGAAGGCGGCAUCCUGGACCGGUAUUGACGCUGAGGAGCGAAAGGCCAGGGGAGCAAACGGG
rnacentral:rRNA from 1 species